CGAAAGGGGGGCGACCCCUGAGUAGAGUGGCGAACGGGUGAGUAACACAUCGGAACGUGCCAAGUCGUGGGGGACAACCAGCCGAAAGGCUGGCUAAUACCGCAUACGCUGGAGACAGGAAAGCCGGGGACCCUGGCAACGGGGCCUGGUGCGAAUGGAGCGGCCGAUGUCCGAUUAGCUAGUUGGCGGGGUAAGAGCCCACCAAGGCGACGAUCGGUAGCUGGUCUGAGAGGAUGAUCAGCCACACUGGGACUGAGACACGGCCCAGACUCCUACGGGAGGCAGCAGUGGGGAAUUUUGGACAAUGGGCGAAAGCCUGAUCCAGCCAUGCCGCGUGAGGGAAGAAGGCCUUCGGGUUGUAAACCUCUUUCGGCCGGGACGAAAACGGCGGGAUGAAUAGUCUCGCUGGAUGACGGUACCGGAAGAAGAAGCACCGGCUAACUACGUGCCAGCAGCCGCGGUAAUACGUAGGGUGCGAGCGUUA
rnacentral:rRNA from 1 species